rnacentral:rRNA from 1 species
AAAGCGAGUCUGAAUAGGGCGACGAGUUCGAGGGAUAAGACCCGAAACCGAGUGAUCUAGCCAUGUGCAGGUUGAAGGUGCGGUAACACGCACUGGAGGACCGAACCCACGUCUGUUGAAAAAGACGGGGAUGACGUGUGGCUAGGGGUGAAAGGCCAAUCAAACUCGGAAAUAGCUGGUUCUCCGCGAAAUCUAUUUAGGUAGAGCGUCAUUGGAUUACCAUCGGGGGUAG